rnacentral:pre_miRNA from 1 species
AAACCGCCCCCUAGGUUUUGCAACUAUAGCAGUUUUGGCCUCCCAAGGCCAAUUUUUGGUAAUUUUUUUUUUUAAAAAUAACACGUGACACCUAACUUAGGUGCCACAUCAGCGUAGACCGGGUCAAAAUUGGCCUUGGGGGCCAAAACUGCCACAUAUGCAAAACUUAGGGGGCGGUUU